GCCGGGCGCGGUGGCGCGUGCCUGUAGUCCCAGCUACUCGGGAGGCUGAGGUGGGAGGAUGCUUGAGCCAGGAGUUCUGGGCUGCAGUGCGCUAGGCCAGUGGGGUGUCCGCACUAAGUUCGGCAUCAAUAUGGUGACGUCCCGGGAGUGGGGGACCACCAGGUUGCCCAAGGCGGGGUGAGCCGGCCCAGGUCGGAAACGGAGCAGGUCAAAACUCCCGUGCUGAUCAGUAGUGGGAUCGCGCCUGUGAAUAGCCACAGCCCUGCAGCCUGGGCAACACAGCGAGACCCCGUCUCU
rnacentral:SRP_RNA from 1 species